UACGAAGGGGGCUAGCGUUGUUCGGAAUUACUGGGCGUAAAGCGCGCGUAGGCGGACUGGCAAGUCGGGGGUGAAAUGCCGAGGCUCAACCUCGGAACUGCCUUCGAUACUGCCGGUCUUGAGGUCGGGAGAGGUGAGUGGAACUCCGAGUGUAGAGGUGAAAUUCGUAGAUAUUCGGAAGAACACCAGUGGCGAAGGCGGCUCACUGGCCCGAUUCUGACGCUGAGGCGCGAAAGCGUGGGGAGCAAACAGG
rnacentral:rRNA from 1 species